rnacentral:rRNA from 1 species
GAUGAACGCUGGCGGCGUGCCUAAUACAUGCAAGUCGAGCGAACAGAUGAGGAGCUUGCUCCUCUGACGUUAGCGGCGGACGGGUGAGUAACACGUGGAUAACCUACCUAUAAGACUGGGAUAACUUCGGGAAACCGGAGCUAAUACCGGAUAAUAUAUUGAACCGCAUGGUUCAAUAGUGAAAGACGGUUUUGCUGUCACUUAUAGAUGGAUCCGCGCCGCAUUAGCUAGUUGGUAAGGUAACGGCUUACCAAGGCAACGAUGCGUAGCCGACCUGAGAGGGUGAUCGGCCACACUGGAACUGAGACACGGUCCAGACUCCUACGGGAGGCAGCAGUAGGGAACCUUCCGCAAUGGGCGAAAGCUUGACGGAGCAACGCCGCGUGAGUGAUGAAGGUCUUCGGAUCGUAAAACUCUGUUAUUAGGGAAGAACAAAUGUGUAAGUAACUAUGCACGUCUUGACGGUACCUAAUCAGAAAGCCACGGCUAACUACGUG